AUCCACAUCAAGGGCCUGCAGGUUGCACUCCGGGACUUUAGCCAGCUCGCUGAUAAUAUCACUGUAGCCUGCUGCAGCAGCAAUGUGCAUGCAUGUUUUGCCAUUCUCAUCAUCGUAGUUGAUUAUUGAUGGUCCCUGGUAGUGGUCCAGGAUGAUGGAACACAGGAUCCUGUUGCCACUCUGGGAGGAAGUUCAGAGAAGAAAAGCAUUUUACCAUGGAGCUUACAUCAAACUGCAUUUUCUCUGCUGGAGAAGACUAAACACAGUAACAGUAUUCUGUUUUGUGUAUACCAGCCUCCCCAGGAUGCGGAUUCCUGAUAAAUUUUACAGCAUGGAUAGAAGAAAUUCCAUGGCCUUGGAAUAUGUAGGAGCCAGAGCUUCUCUGUCCAGAUAAUAAUUCCACUAAUUUAACAAGAUGUGUCCCUUUGAAAUCAAGAAUUGUGUUUUGUAUGUACUUUGUUUACUCGCCUGUUCAAUGUAGAGUCUACUUAUGAUCAUGCCAAACAAGUUUAUUUCCUAUGACUAGGCAUGUUAAAAUUGUCAUUAGUUCUUCAUUGUCUGAAUAUCUGAUGAAAAAAGUGUUGAUAUUUAUAUUCAAGAAUACCUAGGUCCCACGAAUAAUAGUUGUUUCUAUUCUCCGGUUCCCAUGCCAAAUAUCAAUGUUCUCCACACUAAAGUAAUUCUGCAGUAUCUUACUAUUGCUGUAUUAAUGUUCUAAUGAUGCUACCAUUCCUCUAACCUCAUACCGUCUUGGUAAAUCACAAUUUUACAUCCUGCACCUACAGUUUCAGUCCCUUAAUAUUCUUGCACAACUCGUAGAAUUUGCAUAAGAAAUUUUCCACUGUUCUUACUGGCAUUUUAUAUAUUUACAGACUGUUUUGUCUCUCACCAAUAUUCCAUUUUCUAGACUAAACAAACCAUUUCAACCUCUCUUCAUGGGUCAGGUUUUUCAACCCAGUUAUCAUACUUGCCUUUGGCCUCCUUCCAGUUUGUCUACAGUGUUCUUCAACCAAGGCACCCUAAAUUACAUAAUUAUCCAGCUGUGGCUUCAAUUCUGCCAUAGAGAAGGAAAUUGCUACUUCCUGUACCCCACAUGUAUCACACUUCUGUUAAUAUGUCCCAGAACGAUGUUUGUUUGUUUUGUAUCGACACUACAAUUUCAACUCCUACUCACUUC